UACAGGGGGGCAAGCGUUGUUCGGAAUUACUGGGCGUAAAGGGCCAGUAGGCGGCUAACUAAGUCCGACGUGAAAUCCCCAGGCUUAACCUGGGAACUGCGUCGGAUACUGGUUGGCUUGAAUUCGGGAGAGGGAUGCAGAAUUCCAGGUGAUAGCGGUGAAAUGCGUAGAUAUCGUGGAGGAAUACCGGUGGCGAAGGCGGCAUCCUGGACCGACAUUGACGCUGAACGGCGGAAAGC
rnacentral:rRNA from 1 species